rnacentral:ncRNA from 1 species
CAGCCUACAUACCGCCGUCGUCAGCUCACCCCACUGAGGGCACAGCAGUGAGCAUAAUAGCCCCGCCCCCGCUAACAAGACAGGUCAAGGUAUAGCCUAUGGAGUGGGAGAAAUGGGCUACAUUUUCUAGAAUAGAAAAUCCCACGAAAAGGGGCAUGAAACUGCCCCUGGAAGGCGGAUUUAGAAGUAAAGUGGGAUAAUCAAGCCCCCUUUAAACCGGCCCUGGAGUACGUACAUACCGCCCGUCACCCUCCUCACAAGCUUCAUAAAUACCCAUAAUUAAUACACAUCUCAGCUGAAGAUGAGGUAAGUCGUAACAAGGUAAGUGUACCGGAAGGUGUACUUAGCAUAUCAAGACG